UGUUAUGUAGUAUAAUAGUUUAAAUCUUCUAAAGAGUCAAAUUUAAACACAAAAGAAAAUUGCAAAGAGAUAUUCAAAGGAAUGUCUUAUAAUUUUUAUUAUUACGAUAUUAACAAAAAUGACAAUAUCUUUCGUAGUCUCUCCCCCCCAAUGGAAUGAGCACAAUAAGGUACUAAUACUAUCAUUAAAAGGAAAAAAACCUAAGGAAGAUGUACCAAAAUACAUAGUUUAUAUAAUAUGUAUAUAUGUAGUAUAUAUAAUUUAUAUAGUAUAUAUAGUUUAUAUAGUAUGUAUAUAUGUAUUAUAAUAGUUUAAAUCUUCUAAAGAGUCAAAUUUAUGCACAAAAAAAAAACAUUGCAAAAAGUGUAGGAAAUCAUUCUAUCCAUGAUAUGUGUGCUUUGGUUGUAUUAGCAUGAUUUCCAG
rnacentral:lncRNA from 1 species